UUUGCAUUUAAAUAAUAUUCGUGUGUUUUCUCAUCUCAGCGUGUAAACUCAAGGGCACACACAAAGAGCCAAUUCAGAGAAAAAUAAAA